UAAUGAGACCGUUUCCGGGAUUUGCGCCUCAACUUGAAGCAAAUAGUCAGAAAGUAGCCUAGGCAACUGUCCAAAAGUUACAUAUUCUUAUCCUGUAGUAUUUCAGAGCGAAAACGUAGGACUGUGAAGUAGUAUUAGUAGAGGUAUGAGCAGCUGAGUUAAGUUGCGCGCGCAGACAGGGCGCAAAAUCCAACGUGUGUGAAGAGCGCUAACUUGUUGUUCCAGAGGUCGGCUGGUGGAUUCUACCCAGGGCUCGGUGAGGAAGGAACACGUGGCUUAUGAACAUUGGAGUCUGCCUGUAUUGCAUCAGUUUCAUGUGUGGAUUUUCAUCCUUCGCUACUGAUCUUUCUUCAUCUCCUGGUUGGAAGGCCCCCGUGGUGUUGAGACCCAUGUCUGCAUGGUUCCUGCGGCCUCCAUCUCCUCUCCGCCGGCCCCCUGAGCCCCUGGAAGACAUGGA